UUAGAGGAAGUAAAAGUCGUAACAAGGUUUCCGUAGGUGAACCUGCGGAAGGAUCAUUAACGAUUGCUACUCAAGCAAAAAAAGAAAGAAAGGACAAAGACAUGGUUAAAGCUAACACUCCUGACGAGUUCAGGUAGUGUGUGAUGAUGCCUCACUCUCUCUCUCUCGCGCUAGCGAAGAGCAAAAGGCCAUCGUGGUCGCUACGUGCUGCUGCACUGUGCGGACGAUGUAAAACAAACAAACGAUGGCCUCUUAUAUUUUGCAAACAAUCUAUAGAAAGGACAAAGACAUGGUUAAAGCUAACACUCCUGACGAGUUCAGGUAGUGUGUGAUGAUGCCUCUCUCGCGCUAGCGAAGAGCAAAAGGCCAUCGUGGUCGCUACGUGCUGCUGCACUGCGCGGACGAUGUAAAACAAACAAACGAUGGCCUCUUAUAUUUUGCAAACAAUCUAUCGCCAUGGCAUACAGGCCUGGCUCUGGUACGAGUCUCUCGCAGUCUCAAAACCAACCUUACAACUCUGAGCGGUGGAUCACUUGGCUUGUGGAUGCUAUGAAGACCAUAGCUAAGUGUGAGAAUGGCAGCGAGCCGUCGCUAUAUGCGCUGUCCUCUUCUUAUCACAUGUCGAAUGCACAUUGCGCCCCACCCAGCGGUCGGCUAACCUCCUGCAGACAAAAGCCUGUGUGCUUGGAGCAAAGGUUGAUGUGUGGCCCUCGAGCAACGGCGGGGGAGCCAGGAGCACAUUGACGUGCGUUCCAGCCACUCGUGAGUAGUCAGGCUGAACCCCAUGGUGGGGCACUCCUAGUCGAGUGUGGUGGAUCGGGCUCUUCUCCUAUCGUGCUUUUGUUUACGCGAAGGAGUUUGAGUUUCUUUGUUGCUGGUGGCUAUUCUGGUCGACAUCAGUCGUGCCUGUAAAAACCUGCCUUGGCUCGUGCCUCUGUGCGUUUAACUUACGCGGUUGCGCAUAUCGAAAGGCCAUAGCUGGCGAUCACUCGUGCGGCCAGGGCUACACCUAAUGCCAGGUUCCUUUUUGGAUAAUGGCCGGUGUAGCGCAGAGGUCCAAAAGUUCGGAAUACGUUAACGUUCGAGAGACGGGUCUGUGUUUCUCAGUCUCCCUCAUGCACAGCGAGUGGUGUACGAUACUUAACCAAACAUGCUUGUCACUCACUCACUCACUCAGCCGCCCGUCCUGAUCACGCGCUUAUCCGGCCAAGGCUCGUUUCUCUUACUAUCCGAGAACGACACACGAGACCUACAUCUUUCGUUCAUGCUGGUUGUCCGACAAACGCCUGACGAGUUCAGGAAGGAUUUUCCACGUGUGGACGGAGUAACGGAUUUGACGCGCAGUAUCGUACCACUCCCUUCACUGUGUGUCUGCGAAGAAUAGAAUCAGACCCGCCAUCUCGACUUUGCAUAUGUAUGCCACCACCUCGACUUAGGAGAGGAUACCCGCUGAACUUAAGCAUAUCAGUAAGCGGAGGAAAAGAAACCAAUCAGGGAUUCCCUUAGUAGGGGCGACCGAAAAGGGAUGAGCCCAGCGCAGAACCUCCCGGGCCACCCGGCCUGCGGCGGAAUGUUGCGUUAAGGGAAAGGUCGUAGUCAAACCCCACAGCCACGCGAGCACUAAGUAAGUCACGAAUUGGCUAUCCCAACUAACGGAGGGAGCAUCUCCACGGAGGGUGUCAGACCCGUGUGGGCGCGUGUAAAUGCUGUGUGGGCUCGGCCUCUUUUCCCUGAGAGUCGCGUUGCUUGAGCAUGCAGCGCUAAGCAGGUCGUAAACUCGAUCUAAGGCUAAAUAUGUCCACAAGACCGAUAGUGAACAAGUACCGUGAGGGAAAGUUGAAAAGCACUCUGAAGAGAGAGUCAAAAGACCGUGAAACCGCUC
rnacentral:rRNA from 1 species